GGCUCAGGAUGAACGCUAGCGGCAGGCUUAAUACAUGCAAGUCGUGGGGCAGCAUGAGUAGCAAUACUUGAUGGCGACCGGCAAACGGGUGAGGAACACGUACACAACCUUCCUUCAAGCGGGGAAUAGCCCAGAGAAAUUUGUAUUAAUACCCCAUAAUAUAUUUGAUAAGGCAUCUUAUUAAUAUUAAAGCUUCGGCACUUGAUGAUGGGUGUGCGGCUGAUUAGAUAGUUGGCGGGGUAACGGCCCACCAAGUCUACGAUCAGUAGCUGAUGUGAGAGCAUGAUCAGCCACACGGGCACUGAGACACGGGCCCGACUCCUACGGGAGGCAGCAGUAAGGAAUAUUGGACAAUGGACGAAAGUCUGAUCCAGCCAUGCCCGCGUGAAGGAUUAAGGUCCUCUGGAUUGUAAACUUCUUUUAUAUGGGACGAAAAAAGGGCAUUCUUGUUCACUUGACGGUACCAUAUGAAUAAGCACCGGCUAACUCCGUG
rnacentral:rRNA from 1 species